rnacentral:rRNA from 1 species
GACGAACGCUGGCGGCGUGCUUAACACAUGCAAGUCGAACGGAAAGGCCCUGCUUUUGUGGGGUGCUCGAGUGGCGAACGGGUGAGUAACACGUGAGUAACCUGCCCUUGACUUUGGGAUAACUUCAGGAAACUGGGGCUAAUACCGGAUAGGAGCUCCUGCUGCAUGGUGGGGGUUGGAAAGUUUCGGCGGUUGGGGAUGGACUCGCGGCUUAUCAGCUUGUUGGUGGGGUAGUGGCUUACCAAGGCUUUGACGGGUAGCCGGCCUGAGAGGGUGACCGGCCACAUUGGGACUGAGAUACGGCCCAGACUCCUACGGGAGGCAGAAGUGGGGAAUAUUGCACAAUGGGCGGAAGCCUGAUGCAGCAACGCCGCGUGCGGGAUGACGGCCUUCGGGUUGUAAACCGCUUUCGCCUGUGACGAAGCGUGAGUGACGGUAAUGGAUAAAGAAGCACCGGCUAACUACGUG